CUGCACGUAGUCUCCCGGGCAAUUCCGAGAUACAGUAUGAAGAAAGAGCCCUAUACUCGUGCCAAAAAGACGUCGCUGUCUGUGUUGCAGUCUAGCCAUUGUACCACUUUUUAUCCAUAGCUACUCUGUGUCAAUUCGACGGCUACAUUU